GAUGAACGCUGGCGGCGUGCCUAAUACAUGCAAGUCGAGCGAACGGACGAGAAGCUUGCUUCUCUGAUGUUAGCGGCGGACGGGUGAGUAACACGUGGAUAACCUACCUAUAAGACUGGAAUAACUUCGGGAAACCGGAGCUAAUACCGGAUAAUAUUUUGAACCGCAUGGUUCAAAAGUGAAAGAUGGUCUUGCUGUCACUUAUAGAUGGAUCCGCGCUGCAUUAGCUAGUUGGUAAGGUAACGGCUUACCAAGGCAACGAUGCAUAGCCGACCUGAGAGGGUGAUCGGCCACACUGGAACUGAGACACGGUCCAGACUCCUACGGGAGGCAGCAGUAGGGAAUCUUCCGCAAUGGGCGAAAGCCUGACGGAGCAACGCCGCGUGAGUGAUGAAGGUCUUCGGAUCGUAAAACUCUGUUAUUAGGGAAGAACAUAUGUGUAAGUAACUGUGCACAUCUUGACGGUACCUAAUCAGAAAGCCACGGCUAACUACGUG
rnacentral:rRNA from 1 species